rnacentral:rRNA from 1 species
AUACGGAGGAUGCAAGCGUUAUCCGGAUUUAUUGGGUUUAAAGGGUGCGUAGGCGGAUGAUUAAGCGUGAGGUGAAAUGCCACUGCUCAACAGUGGAACUGCCUCGCGAACUGGUUGUCUUGAAUGCUCCUGCCGUGGGAGGAAUGUGUGGUGUAGCGGUGAAAUGCAUAGAGAUCACACAGAACACCGAUUGCGAAGGCAUCUCACGAAGGGGUGAUUGACGCUGAGGCGCGAAAGCGUGGGGAUCAAACAGGAUUAGAUACCCUGGUAGUCCACGCAGUAAACGAUGAUAACUAACCGCUGGGUCGUAGUGAUUCAGUGGCCAAGCGAAAGCGAUAAGUUAUCCACCUGGGGAGUACGACCGCAAGGUUGAAACUCAAAUGAAUGGACGGGG